UAACCUGCCCCCGACUCUGGGAUAAGCCCGGGAAACUGGGUCUAAUACCGGAUAUUACCUUUGACCGCAUGGUUGUUGGUGGAAAGAUUUAUCGGUGGGGGAUGGACUCGCGGCCUAUCAGCUUGUUGGUGAGGUAAUGGCUCACCAAGGCGACGACGGGUAGCCGGCCUGAGAGGGUGACCGGCCACACUGGGACUGAGACACGGCCCAGACUCCUACGGGAGGCAGCAGUGGGGAAUAUUGCACAAUGGGCGAAAGCCUGAUGCAGCGACGCCGCGUGAGGGAUGACGGCCUUCGGGUUGUAAACCUCUUUCAGUAGGGAAGAAGCGAAAGUGACGGUACCUGCAGAAGAAGCGCCGGCUAACUACGUGCCAGCAGCCGCGGUAAUACGUAGGGCGCAAGCGUUAUCCGGAUUUAUUGGGCGUAAAGAGCUCGUAGGCGGUUUGUCGCGUCUGCCGUGAAAGUCCGAGGCUCAACCUCGGAUCUGCGGUGGGUACGGGCAGACUAGAGUGAU
rnacentral:rRNA from 1 species